GGCUUCUUGGUCAAGUGGUAAGGACACUUGCCUCUCACCCAGAAGUCCACGGUUCGAUCCCGGGUCAAGGAUCUA